AGCUUUGCACAGUGGCAGUAUCAUAGCCAGUGAGGUUUAUCAGAGGCACAAUUAUUGCUAAUUUAAAAACAAACAAACAAAACACAGUGGUACAUUUGCACAAUGGAAUACUACACUGCUAUAAAAAAGAAGGAACUAUUACCAUUUGCAACAGCAUGGAUGGACCUGGAGAGCAUUAUGCU
rnacentral:snRNA from 1 species